CGUAGGGUCCAAGCGUUAUCCGGAAUCACUGGGCGUAAAGCGUGCGUAGGUGGCGUGUUAAGUGAGAUGUUAAACCGUGUGGCUCAACCAUAUCGUUGCAUCUCAUACUGGCAUGCUAGAGGACAGCAGAGGCAAGUGGAAUUGGUAGUGUAGCAGUGAAAUGCGUAGAUAUUACCAGGAACACCAAUGGCGAAGGCAGCUUGCUGGGCUACUCCUGACACUGAGGUACGAAAGCGUGGGGAGCGAACAGGAUUAGAUACCCUGGUAGUCCACGCCGUAAACGAUGCAUACUAGACGUAUGGGGUAUCGACCCCCUGUGCGUCGCAGCUAACGCGGUAAGUAUGCCGCCUGGGAAGUACGGCCGCAAGGCUA
rnacentral:rRNA from 1 species